GUCUCGAGCUGCAACCAUCACAU
rnacentral:siRNA from 1 species